rnacentral:rRNA from 1 species
GACGAACGCUGGCGGCGUGCCUAAUACAUGCAAGUCGAGCGCAGGAAACCAGAUGACCCCUUCGGGGUGAUUCUGGUGGAAUGAGCGGCGGACGGGUGAGUAACACGUGGGCAACCUGCCUGUAAGACUGGGAUAACUUCGGGAAACCGGAGCUAAUACCGGAUAGUAUUUCCUUUCUCCUGAUUGGAUAUGGGAAGACGGUUUCGGCUGUCACUUACAGAUGGGCCCGCGGUGCAUUAGCCAGUUGGUGGGGUAAUGGCCCACCAAGGCGACGGUGCAUAGCCGAACUGAGGGGGUGAUCGGCCACACUGGGGCUGAGACACGGCCCAGACGCCUACGGGAAGCAGCAGUAGGGAAUCUUCCGCAAUGGACGAAAGGCUGACGGGGCAACGCCGCGUGAGCGAUGAAGGCCUUCGGGUCGUAAAGCUCUGUUGUUAGGGAAGAACAAGUACGAGAGUAACUGCUCGUACCUUGACGGUACCUAACCAGAAAGCCCCGGCUAACUACGUGCCAGCCGCCGCGUAA